rnacentral:rRNA from 1 species
CCUACGGGAGGCAGCAGUGGGGAAUAUUGCACAAUGGGGGAAACCCUGAUGCAGCGACGCCGCGUGAGUGAAGAAGUAUUUCGGUAUGUAAAGCUCUAUCAGCAGGGAAGAAGAAAGACGGUACCUGACUAAGAAGCACCGGCUAACUACGUGCCAGCAGCCGAGGUAAUACGGAGGGGGCAAGCGGUAUCCGGAUUUACGGGGUGGAAAGGGAGCGUAGACGGCUGUGCAAGUCUGAAGUGAAAGCCCAGGGCUCAACCCUGGGACUGCUUUGGAAACUGUGGAGCUAGAGUGCUGGAGAGGUAAGUGGAAUUCCUAGUGUAGCGGUGAAAUGCGUAGAUAUUAGGAGGAACACCAGUGGCGAAGGCGGCUUACUGGACAGUAACUGACGUUGAGGCUCGAAAGCGUGGGGAGCAAACAGGAUUAGAUACCCGAGUAGUC